rnacentral:rRNA from 1 species
CACACUAUCAUUAACUGAAUCCAUAGGUUAAUGAGGCGAACCGGGGGAACUGAAACAUCUAAGUACCCCGAGGAAAAGAAAUCAACCGAGAUUCCCCCAGUAGCGGCGAGCGAACGGGGAGGAGCCCAGAGCCUGAAUCAGUGUGUGUGUUAGUGGAAGCGUCUGGAAAGGCGCGCGAUACAGGGUGACAGCCCCGUACACAAAAAUGCACAUAUUGUGAGCUCGAUGAGUAGGGCGGGACACGUGGUAUCCUGUCUGAAUAUGGGGGGACCAUCCUCCAAGGCUAAAUACUCCUGACUGACCGAUAGUGAACCAGUACCGUGAGGGAAAGGCGAAAAGAACCCCGGCGAGGGGAGUGAAAAAGAACCUGAAACCGUGUACGUACAAGCAGUGGGAGCCUCUUUAUGGGGUGACUGCGUACCUUUUGUAUAAUGGGUCAGCGACUUAUAUUCUGUAGCAAGGUUAACCGAAUAGGGGAGCCGAAGGGAAACCGAGUCUUAACUGGGCGUUAAGUUGCAGGGUAUAGACCCGAAACCCGGUGAUCUAGCCAUGGGCAGGUUGAAGGUUGGGUAACACUAACUGGAGGACCGAACCGACUAAUGUUGAAAAAUUAGCGGAUGACUUGUGGCUGGGGGUGAAAGGCCAAUCAAACCGGGAGAUAGCUGGUUCUCCCCGAAAGCUAUUUAGGUAGCGCCUCGUGAAUUCAUCUCCGGGGGUAGAGCACUGUUUCGGCAAGGGGGUCAUCCCGACUUACCAACCCGAUGCAAACUGCGAAUACCGGAGAAUGUUAUCACGGGAGACACACGGCGGGUGCUAACGUCCGUCGUGAAGAGGGAAACAACCCAGACCGCCAGCUAAGGUCCCAAAGUCAUGGUUAAGUGGGAAACGAUGUGGGAAGGCCCAGACAGCCAGGAUGUUGGCUUAGAAGCAGCCAUCAUUUAAAGAAAGCGUAAUAGCUCACUGGUCGAGUCGGCCUGCGCGGAAGAUGUAACGGGGCUAAACCAUGCACCGAAGCUGCGGCAGCGACACUAUGUGUUGUUGGGUAGGGGAGCGUUCUGUAAGCCUGUGAAGGUGGCCUGUGAGGGUUGCUGGAGGUAUCAGAAGUGCGAAUGCUGACAUAAGUAACGAUAAAGCGGGUGAAAAGCCCGCUCGCCGGAAGACCAAGGGUUCCUGUCCAACGUUAAUCGGGGCAGGGUGAGUCGACCCCUAAGGCGAGGCCGAAAGGCGUAGUCGAUGGGAAACAGGUUAAUAUUCCUGUACUUGGUGUUACUGCGAAGGGGGGACGGAGAAGGCUAUGUUGGCCGGGCGACGGUUGUCCCGGUUUAAGCGUGUAGGCUGGUUUUCCAGGCAAAUCCGGAAAACCAAGGCUGAGGCGUGAUGACGAGGCACUACGGUGCUGAAGCGACAAAUGCCCUGCUUCCAGGAAAAGCCUCUAAGCAUCAGGUAACAUCAAAUCGUACCCCAAACCGACACAGGUGGUCAGGUAGAGAAUACCAAGGCGCUUGAGAGAACUCGGGUGAAGGAACUAGGCAAAAUGGUGCCGUAACUUCGGGAGAAGGCACGCUGAUAUGUAGGUGAAGCGACUUGCUCGUGGAGCUGAAAUCAGUCGAAGAUACCAGCUGGCUGCAACUGUUUAUUAAAAACACAGCACUGUGCAAACACGAAAGUGGACGUAUACGGUGUGACGCCUGCCCGGUGCCGGAAGGUUAAUUGAUGGGGUUAGCGGUAACGCGAAGCUCUUGAUCGAAGCCCCGGUAAACGGCGGCCGUAACUAUAACGGUCCUAAGGUAGCGAAAUUCCUUGUCGGGUAAGUUCCGACCUGCACGAAUGGCGUAAUGAUGGCCAGGCUGUCUCCACCCGAGACUCAGUGAAAUUGAACUCGCUGUGAAGAUGCAGUGUACCCGCGGCAAGACGGAAAGACCCCGUGAACCUUUACUAUAGCUUGACACUGAACAUUGAGCCUUGAUGUGUAGGAUAGGUGGGAGGCUUUGAAGUGUGGACGCCAGUCUGCAUGGAGCCGACCUUGAAAUACCACCCUUUAAUGUUUGAUGUUCUAACGUUGGCCCGUAAUCCGGGUUGCGGACAGUGUCUGGUGGGUAGUUUGACUGGGGCGGUCUCCUCCUAAAGAGUAACGGAGGAGCACGAAGGUUGGCUAAUCCUGGUCGGACAUCAGGAGGUUAGUGCAAUGGCAUAAGCCAGCUUGACUGCGAGCGUGACGGCGCGAGCAGGUGCGAAAGCAGGUCAUAGUGAUCCGGUGGUUCUGAAUGGAAGGGCCAUCGCUCAACGGAUAAAAGGUACUCCGGGGAUAACAGGCUGAUACCGCCCAAGAGUUCAUAUCGACGGCGGUGUUUGGCACCUCGAUGUCGGCUCAUCACAUCCUGGGGCUGAAGUAGGUCCCAAGGGUAUGGCUGUUCGCCAUUUAAAGUGGUACGCGAGCUGGGUUUAGAACGUCGUGAGACAGUUCGGUCCCUAUCUGCCGUGGGCGCUGGAGAACUGAGGGGGGCUGCUCCUAGUACGAGAGGACCGGAGUGGACGCAUCACUGGUGUUCGGGUUGUCAUGCCAAUGGCACUGCCCGGUAGCUAAAUGCGGAAGAGAUAAGUGCUGAAAGCAUCUAAGCACGAAACUUGCCCCGAGAUGAGUUCUCCCUGACUCCUUGAGAGUCCUGAAGGAACGUUGAAGACGACGACGUUGAUAGGCCGGGUGUGUAAGCGCAGCGAUGCGUUGAGCUAACCGGUACUAAUGAACCGUGAGGCUUAACCUUACAACGCCGAAG